rnacentral:misc_RNA from 1 species
CUCCUUCGGCUUGGGCAGGCC